rnacentral:tRNA from 1 species
GCCCUGGUGGCACAAUGGCUAAGCACUCAGCUGUUAACUGAAAGGUCGUGAGUUCAAACCCACCAGUGGCU